UUCUUUAUCUCAUGAUAUAAUAUUAAUAAUAAAAAGGAUAUAAAAAUGACAAAAAAAAAUUUGUUAGAUUUCUCCCUAUCUUCAAAUCAUAUUACUCGAAUCAAUAAUUAUAUUGCCAAAAGAAAGUAUUUCAUGCUUGAACAAGAUUUAAUGGAGCAAAAAAGAGAGAAAGAGAGAGAGAGAGAGAGAGAGAGAGAGAGAGAGAGAGAGAGAGAGAGAGAGAGAAAACAAAGAAUUCCACGAACAAGGGAAUGCUCGUCGGUCGAUCUAUUCUUUUCUUCUUUUUUCACCCUUUUUUUUCUUUACUCGUAUUUAUUCGUGGAAUAGAAUUUUUUUUCGAGUUUCUCUCUCUCUUUCUCUUUUUCUCUCUCUGUCUCUCUCUCCUCUGGCUGGCGCGAGUCAGAAAAUUGUGAAAAGCGUGCAAUAGGAAAGGUGCAUAGUUCUUUGUGGUCUCGUAACAACGCCAGUGCACUAGUGCAGCAUCAACAACGAUGCCAACCAGCUGCUCUGUUGCUACUGGGCUUUAGAAGAAUGCCCAUAGACGGUCGGCUUUCCUUGCAGGCAUCGUUUCAAGACGCCAAAGAGCUUUCGUAACGUUCAAUUAUCUCUUUUUACGGAGCUGACUAUGUCGGUCGAAAAGAGGAAGAAUUCCAAGAAGAAAAGAAGAUAAUUUAACUCGCGAGUUGUUUCAAGAGAGAUGCUUAAACUACAUUAAGAAAUCGAAUCCGAAGUUAGUAUUGGUGAUCCACUUGAACGAGAUCCUCCUACGAACGUUCACACUACACCAUCGAACGUUUACCUUGCUCUCGAGGGAACAAAAAUUGCUUAUUAACACGUUGUAUGUCUCGUGCUCCACCGAUGGCCCACAUCGAAAGGACUUAUCGUUCUAGGCUGUUCUUGCCUGAACGGAAAAUCACCACAUCAAAAUAUCACGGCAUCCCCGACGUGUUUUUAAUUAUACGUUUACGACGAAGUGACUUUAGAUUUUACGAUUUCUUUUUUUUUUUUCUCUUUUUUUUUUUUUUUUUGUUAAAUACAGUGUUCUUGAGAAAUUUUUAACUUCGGAGUCUGUCAUUAUGUUUUCAAUGGCCGACGAUAAUUUUGUUACGUUAAAUAUAUUUUAAUUAGAGUUAUUUGAAGUAUUUAUGUAUAUCAGAGAAAAGAUAAACUUUGAUAAAUCAAUUAUUUUGUUACAAAAUGACCGAUCAACAAUUCUGUUAACCUAUUUUUCAAAUGAAC